UACGGGGGGGGCAAGCGUUGUUCGGAAUUACUGGGCGUAAAGGGCUCGUAGGUGGCCAACUAAGUCGGACGUGAAAUCCCUCGGCUUAACCGGGGAACUGCAUCCGAUACUGGAUGGCUUGAGUUCGGGAGAGGAAAGCGGAAUUCCACGUGUAGCGGUGAAAUGCGUAGAGAUGUGGAGGAACACCAGUGGCGAAGGCGGCUUUCUGGUCUGUAACUGACGCUGAGGCGCGAAAGCGUGGGGAGCGAACGGG
rnacentral:rRNA from 1 species